rnacentral:tRNA from 1 species
AUCCUUCUAGUAAAAAUGUUAGUAUAAGUGGCUUCCAACCACAUGGUCUUGGUUAAACUCCAAGGAAGGAUA